UGGGAGUUGAAAUGGAAUACUUCAGCAAAUGGCACAAGAAAAGAUAUUAGAAGAAGGCAUCAUAGGAUAUUCAAAUGAGAAACUAAGGAAAGUCUCAUGAAAUCUCCCCCAGAAAAGGCAAUGCUCUUUUCAUCUCUGCUGACUAAAAGAUAGAGUACAAACUCCUUGGGAACAGAGUGUUUUUUAUGCUGCUAUGUGCCUAGUGCCUAGAGUAGUACCUGGCAUAGAGUAGGACUCACUACAUAUUUGACGAGUGGAUGAAUGACUGUCUCCUGUACCUUAUUUCUGGAGCCACAACCUGCCCUUGUUAUAACAGAUGAAGGAAAAGGUGGGAGAAACCAAUCAUCUGGAAGACCCUCUGAGAUGCCUUGGAGUCACACACCAUUGUUCUUAUUGACAGAUCAGUCCUGAGUCUCCAAUAAAGGAGACACAACCAUCUAUAAACAACAAUAUUUUGAGCCUUGGCAGAGAAGGAUGAUAAAAAAUGAAGAUUCUGAGGAGCAGAAAUUUCUUACAUCAAGUUACCACAGUGGCGACCACAUGUUCUGAUCCUCUUCAAGGCAUGUUUAUUGGAAGAUUUUGUUUUUCUGUAAAGGUACAUUUUCAUUGCCUACUUGAGGAGACUUAAAAAUCCAUAACUGAGUGUAGGAACUACUCAUGUAGGAAGCCACUUGCAUAGAUAUGUGUUAGUUAUGUUAUUGAUGGACAACCUGCUGAUUUCUGGAGCUGUGUCUCCACUUGGUGGGAGGUACUGGAAUUACAAUACAUUCACAAGUUUCAUUUGGGUAGAAUAAUUGGCUUUAAAAUCAUUCAGCUGCUUGUAGGAAGCAAGGAGGCAACACCAUCAACAGCCAGGAUGCAGUUACCUGAAUCCUUAUUGCAGUUGCCUUAUUGCAGUGAAUUACUUAAGAUAUAUUGAUUUCUUCCCCAUAGAACUAUAUUGUUUUCCUGCAUAUACCAUUAUGAGC
rnacentral:lncRNA from 1 species